UAAAAAAAAAAAAAAAAAGUAAAAAUAAAAUAUCAGUUUUGAUGAGCAGCUGAAAAUGCAGUGCCAAACAAGGUUUUGUGUGAGAGGAGUGACUGAUUUAUUGUGAAAAAUAGCUAGUGUAUGAGAUAUAUGGCAACAUUUUUUUUAAUCAUUUUAACACAUCCUCUUCAUUAAUAAGGUUUUCUUUUGAAUGAUGAGGAGCUUGAAAUGUUGCCGGCAUAACUCUUUGUAGGUUUUACACAUUUUUACUGUAUAUUAGAUGAAUAUCAGUGAUAUAAUUUGGUCCUCUGUUUGGCAUAAAACUAGUUGUUAUGGCUUAUAUGUUUGGUUUUUCACACCAUAUAAGUUUACUUGAUAAUUCUUGAAUUGAAAUGGAAGAACUUAACUCUAUAAAUCAGAAUUUUAUUAUGUGCAAAUCUAAUACCAUUUAAGGUUUAGUGUAUGAGAAAGAUGAUUAAUGAACAAACAUUAUGGUACUGUUUGUGAGUUAACAUGCAAAGGAAAAAUAAAGAUGUGUCUAUGCAUUUCUUAUUACAGAAAGCUUUAUAAUGGGAGGAAAUAUACUUUUAUUCUGAAAAAGCAUGAAGUUCUUAAAUUUGCUAUCUGUGCCUAUCAUCAUACCAAGGUAUUAGGCAGCCAUACUCAUAUCAAACAAAAAGAUGUUUAAAUUGAGAUUUAGCUAGGUUGUUAAUUAAUAUUCUUCAAAAUUUAUUCACUUAAUAUUUCUAUCAUAGUUAAUGCAAGAUGAAGGAAAGGAAGAUUAAUUUUCCUUGACGAUUUGGGACUUCUGCACUUCCUUGGAAAAGGAUUUUGGCUCCUGUAAUCUACAAAAGUGGGUAAAAACUCAUGGUUAUGUUUUAUUCUGAAGAAUCCUUUUGCACAUGGGUUGGCAACUUGGCAGUUGGCACCCUCAUUGCCUUUCUUAGUUGAUUUUCAAUCCUUUAUCUUAUCAGGGAAAAAAUGCGAAAAAAAAAGGGGCUCUAUAAUUGGUGUAAGAAGAAAUUAGUAGGUGGUAGAGAUUUAAAUGUCCACGCCUACUGGGAAGCAAUUGCGUUAAGCCCUUGUUUGCUUGGCAUUUGUAAUGCUUUUUUAUUCCCUAGUGACUGGCUUGAAUCUACAUUUACUGCUUGUUAACUGACUUAAAGGAUAGUUCAUCUGUAUUUUUCUAAUCUAUUUUCAUCAAUGUAUAUUCCUUCAUUUUCUAUGGUUCAAAAUCAGGGUGAUGGUUUUCCUUUGACUUUUUGGUUUUCUAAGGAUGUUCUAUGGGAUGGGGAAAAAAAUUUGUGUGGCUUUUAGAUGAGUGUAUUUCAAUUCCAUGGAUCUGAAGGGGAAGUGGUGAUAUUUGUGGGAUUGUGGAUAUGCUGAUCUUGGUGUAGCAGAAACUGUAGAUAGUGGAAUAUACUCUUAAAUGUGAAAAUAAUUGGUACUUAUUGUUCUUGUGUGGACUAUACAGAUUUCUGUCAUUUCCUUAGUUUGAUUGCAGUGGUGCAGAACUACCAGUACAAUGAAAUUUCAAACCCUGAAUAUGUGUUUCGUUUUGCCUAUGUAACUUGGAAUGGCGUAUAUGAUUUUUGUGCUAAUGAUAUUUAGGUUUCUUUGAAAUUGCUUUUUUGUUUAUGCUAGUGCCAGUUUCAGGGUUUUAUUUAUUUGUUGUAAAAUUAAAGAAAACUAUUUUGUUAUUUUCUUCUCUGUUAAAUAUUACAUAUGUACUGGUACUAACUCUGAUAAUUGUUGUAUGUAUUACCUGCUUUAUUUUUGUUCACAAGCUGUGAAAAAUUUUAAUAUUUUAUUGGUUUUAAUUUAUGUUAGUUAAUUCCAAUAGUAGCCAAAAAAAAAUACAAAUGGUAGAUAAUUUACAAGUGAAAUCAUAGACGAUGAGUUGCAAAGUUGGCCAGUUUUGUGAGGAUGUGAUGAUGGUUUCAGUACUUCUUAAAAGGUCAAGACUUUGAAAUUAAGUCUGUUUUCCCUAUUAAAACUUGCUCUACUUUUUACAUUUGCAUGAUAGUAAUUUUUAACAACUUGUGUAACUUUAUCAUUAUGGUCGUCACAACUUUCUUAUAUGUUGUUGUGGUUGCUGUUUGAAUCUGUAUGCGCAUAACAUUUAUGCUGCCAAUAUUAUCUCUCUCCUACUUUUAGGAGUAGACAGAAGAUUCAUCGUGAUGACUGGUGCAGAUAAUCUCCUUGCAUCUACUUAGCAGUAGUUACCCCUUCAAUUCUGGUUUGUCUCUAACAGAAAUGUUAUUUUCAGGAGAAGAAUAAGGAGAAAAAGCACAAAAAGGAUAAGGAGGAGAAAGAAAAGAGGGAGGGUAAAGAGAAAAGGGAUAAAGAUAGAAGUAAAGAGAAAAAUAGAGAAAAGAAAGACCGAAAAGAGAAGCACAAAGACAAGGAUAGAGAUAAAGAAAAAAACUGGACUUCAGAUGAGAAGAAAGUUGAAUGGCAACCAGGCUUUUAUGAUGGACAAAAGUUUGGUUCAGAGAGCCUGCAGAAUAAUGAGAUCAAGGAUUCUUUAUGCGUGCAGGAAUUGGCCAGAAGAAUUAAGGAUGAAGAUAGAGCAUCAGGGAGCCAAAUGUUUGAGAAGGUUGUUGCCACAGAUCAAAGAAGAGGUGAGAUACAGGGAAUGGUGGUGGAAAGAAAUAUUGGCAAUCAAUCUGAGGAAAAAGAAAAGUUUAAGAAUAAGAAUGAAGAUCAUAGGAAAAUCAAUGGGCAGAGAAAUCAUUUUGAUACAAGAGGUUUGGGAAGGGCAUUUCAUCAAAAUUUCGUUGGCAUGGCCCAAGAAAGAGUUGAAGGAGUUGUCAAGUUGGUGGAGAAGAAGGAUGCUGAGAAGCAGAUGGAGGGGAAAGAGAAGAGUAAACACAAGGGAAGUGAUGGUAAGGGUAACAAACACAAAGGCAAAGACCGAGAGAAGAAUAGAAAAUCAAAGGAUAAAUACCGGCAUAAGGAAGAGAAGGAGGAGAAAGCGAAAGAGAUAACUGAACCAAUUAAAGAGAAGCCUAAAUUAAAAGAAAAUGUCUCUAAACUAAAAGAGGGUAGCAGGGACUCACUAGACUUCCGAAAUAUCAAAUCAUCAGAAUCAUUGAAGUUAAGCAAUGUAAGUCCUGCUGCUGAGGGAAAUCUUGGAAAGCGAAAGGAGCUUGAGGAAAAUGGAUAUUUACUUGGUGAGCAUUUCCUGUAUUAUAUAAUUAUCACACUGCAGUGUAUCUAUUUCUGUCUGUUGCAUGGAACCUAGUAUGGUAAUAAUGCAUCAUUGUAAUUAGAUUGUCCAAUAUCUAAUUACCUGUUCUCUGGUGCUUUAAUAAUGGUAUUUUUUUUCACUUUCUCUACUCUCUGAGAACUUAAACUAAAAUCUAUCUCAAGUUCCCAUUGUUGGUUUUGCAGGCUCUGAUGUGUUCUUUGUCUUCUUUGGUGGUUAGAUGAAUUGUGCAGAUCUAGCUUCAUAUCAACUUAUUAUAUUUCGUACCUCAUUUUUUUAAACUUCUUUACAGACAAUGGGAGGCGGCCUAAUAAAUUUCCAAGGCCUCUGUCUUCCUCUUUCCCAGCUGUUGAAAAUCUAAGGUUGGAAAAAUGCCAAACUGCUAUUCAGUCAUCUGAGAAGCAGGGGUUAGCUAAUAAUCAUAUAGUGGAUAUCAAGGAACAGAAGCUUAAUGGCUUAGUAGCUGUUCAAGAGCCCAAUAUGUGCUCAAAAAAGCCUUCAUCUAUUGGCGUAGCAGCAAAUGAGAAUAGUGAAAUAUCUUCAAAACCACAUCCUGAUGUGAAAUAUCUGAGUCAGAUACUUUCUAUACCAGAAAUGGAGGAAUGGCCUGAUGCUAAUGAUCAGGAAUGGCUGUUUAGCAGUAGUCAUUUGCUGUCAAAAAAGCCCAGCGGUGGUUCUCCCGGGGAUGAUGGAACACGGCAAGUAUGGGCAGAAGCUCUUCGGAUAGAGUCUUUGGACAUUUCAGCAAUGCCAUAUGUCAUUCCUUACUGAUUUAGUACUAAAUGGUUAGGACUAUCCCUUCGACAACUCCCUGACAUGGCUGUUAGCCUCUAGGGAACACCUGGGGGAGGUAUGCCGGCAUUUGGGUCUUGAGAUUAGUGGUCUGUUCCUUCCUGUUCUUUCAUUGUUUGCCCAGCCCAGAUAAGUUUGUUAAGGACUGUUGGGGGGCUUUGCCGACUUACUUGUAGUUAUUUAUAACAGCUACCAUUGGGUUUUCAUCAGAAGAAACAUUCCUCAUGUGAAGUGGUGAGAUGAAGGACAUUAGACCAAAAAGGUUGAGAUGGUUAGUUCCGAUUCUUCUUAGCUUUAGAGCUUAAACAUAUAGGUUAGAUGAGAGUUACAAUGUUCCCAUGGCCUGUGCUAUGCACACAUUUUUUAAAUCUGUAUAAUGAUUGAUGGUAUACGUAAUUUGUAAAUUAAGAGGGCAAAAUAAAGGAGGCAAAUUUCAUUUAUUUGUGAACUCUUUGUUUUUUUCCCUUGUUUUGGUUGAAUGUAGGAUAUCGAAAUUUUGUUAGAACCAGUCAAGUUCUAUUAGCAAUUGCUUAUUACUUGCUGUUUGAUUUCAUAUUAAUGUUUAAUAUAAUUCAACUCUUC
rnacentral:misc_RNA from 1 species